rnacentral:lncRNA from 1 species
UCCUUUUUUGGUAUUUUCUACCCGUCACUGCAUGGCAAUUGACAAUUGUGUGAAUCCGCCAAAAAAAUUUGGUUACAUGACAGUCACUGAUAAUAGAGACCUCAAUUCAAGUCAGGUUCAAUCACUUGUCUUUUGCAUCCUGUUCUUUAAAUUCAAUAUAAAUCCUCUCUCUUUAUUACCCACCAUUUUUGUUAAUUGUUAUCCGUAAGCCUCACCACCACCUUCUACACAAGUCAAGGUGAUUUUUUUUUUUUAAUUUUAGUAGUUUUUGCGCUUCGAUUUUAUGUUUAUUUGAUUUAUGACACUUAAGUACUGCCGUUUUCACUAUUCAAAUCAGUCUAUUAAUUUAAAAUGAACCCAUCAACGACCUUAUAAUAUCUGUAUAUUUAAGAUUCUCUAUUGUCUCUGAUUGAACAGUCAUUGAUUAGAAUGGAUUAACCGUUUGGCUGUCAGGAAAAUUUAGUGACCUAAUGAAAACAAGAUGGAAUUUUUGUCAAUUUUAAAAAUUAAAAUGUACCCUAACUCCGUAACAGUCUAAGGGAUUAACUUUAGGUGUGUGUGUAUAUAUAUAUAUAUAUAUAUUUUUUUAUAGGUGUGUGCUAUAUUGUACUUAUGAUGAUGAUGCUUAAAUAUUUUGCUUGAUCGAUUGCAGUAAUCUGAAAACAUGGCGGUUGAGAGUAGCAACAUUGCAAAAGAUGUUACAGAAGUAAGUUUUUGUUGACAUAAAUUUAAUUGUUCAUUGUUAUGCGUAAUAGUUAGCUCAGUAGGAAGUUUCAAAAUUCUAUGUUUGUGUACAGUUAAUUGGCAAUACCCCAUUGGUGUAUCUCAACAAUAUUGUCAAUGGGUGUGUUGCCCGCAUUGCUGCUAAGCUAGAGAUGAUGGAACCGUGCUCUAGUGUCAAGGACAGGUGUCGUUGUAUAUCCCUUGGAACAUUUUUUGUCUGAUUAUUAUAUUGCUGUUUGCUUAACUGUCUGCUUUAACUGUCAAGAAGUGGGUUUUUACCAUUCAUUGAGCCUCUGAUUUUUGGUUUUUCGAAUAAGUACUGAGUGAUGUUUCUUUUUUAGGAAUCCUAAAUUUUGUUUUCCAACAUGCAGGAUUGGUUAUAGCAUGAUUUCUGAUGCAGAGGCGAAAGGUCUAAUAACACCAGGGGAGGUAUGUUGUUUUUCCUUAUUUCAAAACAGCUGGUGUGGCAUUAAUAAUAAUUUGAUGGAGAUAAAUGAAUUUGAUUUCCUCUAUAUUUUUAUGGUAAUAUUUUGAUCUGGAUUUGAAUGAAAGAAAGUUGGGCGAUUGUUAUUUGGUGAGAUUUUUUUGUAUCUGCUGAAUUGUUUAUGGUGUUGACAAUGUUUUAUUGUGCCUGUUGAAGAGUGUACUCAUUGAACCUACAAGUGGAAAUACUGGGAUUGGUUUGGCGUUCAUGGCGGCAGCCAAGCAAUACAGGCUUAUCAUUACAAUGCCAGCUUCAAUGAGUCUUGAAAGAAGAAUCAUUCUUCGAGCAUUUGGAGCUGAAUUAGUUCUCACUGAUCCUGCUAAGGGGAUGAAAGGGGCUGUUCAGAAGGCAGAGGAGAUUCUGGCUAAAACCCCCAAUGCUUACAUGCUGCAGCAAUUUGAAAACCCUGCCAAUCCAAAGGUAUUUCCUUAAUUAAUAAUCAAGUGGAAGCUGUUGGUGGUUUGAAAAGUUUAAGUGAUCGAUGUUGUUAGUGCAGAUCCAUUAUGAAACUACUGGACCAGAGUUAUGGAAAGGGUCAGGAGGGAGAAUCGAUGCCCUUGUUUCCGGAAUUGGUACUGGUGGCACAAUAACAGGUGCAGGAAAAUUUCUCAAAGAGAAGAACCCCAACAUAAAGGUAAGAUGAUGAUUUAUUUCAAAUAUCAAUUUAAAAGUGAAUGUACAUAUGCGAGUUUUGGAAAAAUGAAAUUUUAUUUCUCUUCUGCUUUGAAUUAUUGCUCCUUUCUUAGAGUGGCGUCUGAUUAUUUUUCCCUUUCCUGAAUAGCUCUAUGGUAUAGAGCCAACUGAAAGUCCUGUUCUAUCUGGAGGAAAACCUGGUGAGUUAUUUUUAAUAACUAAGACUCCUUGGAUGAUCUUUUCUCUUUGCAUAUUCCAGUUUCUGCACUCUGCAUCGUUUUAUGAAAUCAGUAACUGGGAUGCACAAGUAUUGGUCACACAGUUUGGCAUUGAACGAUCAUAUGAAUAAAGGAGAGGAACCCUUGUAGUAGGUGUAGUAGUAAAAGCUAGGGGACGAAUUAUUAUUCGAGCAUACAAUUAUGGAAGUCAGUUCCAAUCUUUUAGUGGAGUAGAUUUGGAAUUAAAUAAUUGGGCUAGUUUAAUUACAGGCCUAAUUAUUGUAGCCACUAUUGUAUGUUCCCAAAUGAUCCCCGGGUUAGCUCAUUUAAUUGACUGCACCACUACUGGACUAAUAAGUAAGAUAACUAGCUAUUUGGGUCAAAAGCAUAAAUAUAUCAUUUAGUGGGAGACUCCAUUUAAUUAGCUUUUGUGUAAGGGGUCUUAUGUUAUUUUACAAGGUGGGUCUACUGUUGAAAAAUCAAAGAAUGUGGUUUUUAUUUUUUAAUUAUUUGGAGGCCUAGGGUUUUCACUAAAGGGUGAUAUAAAAGGCUUAUUUUUCUCUAAAGAAAAUUGAGCAACCACUUUAUACAGAUCAGAGAAUAAGAUUUUUCUCUAUAUUGUUGAGAGAAAAAUUUUCUCGUGCUAGUUGUUUUGGUAGUGAUAAAGGCGCCCACACGUCAAGUACAGAUCGAACCUGAGUCAUAACCUGAAAGAUCAUUGGUGACAAUUCGUGAUCUAACAAGCGUGGUGGUGACGGAUCGUGAUCUAACAGGAAUGGUGGUGGCGGAUCGUGAUCUAGAAGCCUAAAUCACUUCAGCGGAAAAAGUCAAUUCUAAUUUUUAAGGUACGAUUUCUAGAAUACAAAUUCUUAUAUAUUAUAUGAGAGCGAUCUUCAAAAAUUUUAUAAAAAAAUUAAAAACCUAAUUUUUCCCCGACAUUUAUUAGCCCUAUCAUCAAGUGGAAAUAAUAAUAAACUUAAUGUCUUUAAAAAUUAUAUUACAUUUUAGAUAACAGAAUUAAGUAAUUUCUAAAUGCGCUACCUUUUAUUUAUUUUUAUUCAUAUCUUAUUCAAUGUAAAAAUUAAAUUACUAUUUUUACGAUUCUAUCUCACAUAAAUCUUUACUAAUUUUACUUGACGGAAUUUUUUUUUUACUUUUUCUAAAUUAAGUUUGUUUUCAUAUGACUUUUCCUUUUUUGGUAUUUUCUACCCGUCACUGCAUGGCAAUUGACAAUUGUGUGAAUCCGCCAAAAAAAUUUGGUUACAUGACAGUCACUGAUAAUAGAGACCUCAAUUCAAGUCAGGUUCAAUCACUUGUCUUUUGCAUCCUGUUCUUUAAAUUCAAUAUAAAUCCUCUCUCUUUAUUACCCACCAUUUUUGUUAAUUGUUAUCCGUAAGCCUCACCACCACCUUCUACACAAGUCAAGGUGAUUUUUUUUUUUUAAUUUUAGUAGUUUUUGCGCUUCGAUUUUAUGUUUAUUUGAUUUAUGACACUUAAGUACUGCCGUUUUCACUAUUCAAAUCAGUCUAUUAAUUUAAAAUGAACCCAUCAACGACCUUAUAAUAUCUGUAUAUUUAAGAUUCUCUAUUGUCUCUGAUUGAACAGUCAUUGAUUAGAAUGGAUUAACCGUUUGGCUGUCAGGAAAAUUUAGUGACCUAAUGAAAACAAGAUGGAAUUUUUGUCAAUUUUAAAAAUUAAAAUGUACCCUAACUCCGUAACAGUCUAAGGGAUUAACUUUAGGUGUGUGUGUAUAUAUAUAUAUAUAUAUUUUUUUAU